AUUGAACGCUGGCGGCAGGCCUAACACAUGCAAGUCGAGCGGAUGAAGGGAGCUUGCUCCUGGAUUCAGCGGCGGACGGGUGAGUAAUGCCUAGGAAUCUGCCUGGUAGUGGGGGAUAACGUCCGGAAACGGGCGCUAAUACCGCAUACGGCCUGAGGGAGAAAGUGGGGGAUCUUCGGACCUCACGCUAUCAGAUGAGCCUAGGUCGGAUUAUCUAGUUGGUGGGGUAAAGGCCUACCAAGGCGACGAUCCGUAACUGGUCUGAGAGGAUGAUCAGUCACACUGGAACUGAGACACGGUCCCGACUCCUACGGGAGGCAGCAGUGGGGAAUAUUGGACAAUGGGCGAAAGCCUGAUACAGCCAUGCCGCGUGUGUGAAGAAGGUCUUCGGAUUGUAAAGCACUUUAAGUUGGGGGGAAGGGCAGUAAGUUAAUACCUUGCUGUUUUGACGUUACCAACAGAAUAAGCACCGGCUAACUUCGUG
rnacentral:rRNA from 1 species